GAGAACCGUGCUCAGGAGGAAGAGACCAGAAGGAUAACUCAAAAAGUUCUGAGAAGUUCCUAAGACCACCUGAAGAGAAGGAGCCUGCUGCCAAUGGUGUGGACACCGCAGUGUGCUUGAGGAGACUUCAGAAACGAGAACUGUCUUCAAAGGAGAACGACCCAUUUCCCAAUUUACUUGAUAGAAGUCCCUAAACUCGGAGCAUCGAGUGUGAGGCUUUGGAGCUGCAAGUGCCUGAGCUUGGAUUUCAGGUUAAUUGUGGUCUCAGAUGCUGCCAUCUAACCAAUCUAAGAAUCCCAUGUUGGGCUGGAAAAUGCGUCUGGAGAGUAGGGGACGGUAUUUGCUGCUCAGUUGUUAGAGAUGAGGUCCCACUAUGAUGCCCAGGCUGGUCUCAAAUUCUUGGACUGAUGCGAUCCUCUCAUCUCAGCCUCCCGAAGUGCUGGAAUUACAGGCAUGAGCCACCUCACCAGGCCUAGACUUGGAUUGUGAAAGGCAUCUCAACCAUGACACAUUCCAAAGGCAAACUUCUUGAUUGAACCCGCAACUUUGCUUAGCCAGCCCCAUUUCUCCACCAUGCUUUCUACCCUAGUUAAUGGUGCCAGCCUUCACACAGCUGCUCAAACCGGCCCUGGCUGUUCUUGAUUCUUCUUCUGGCCUCUUGGACUCCGCCAUGUUAUUCAGAGCCAUUUGGUGACUUCUGACAGCUCUGCCUCAAAAUGCUUCUCAGAUCUGUUUCUCUCCUUCUUUCCCCUCUACAGCCAGACUGGUUCAAGCCCCAUCACAUCUCAUGUGGACCAUGUGGGUGCUCAGUGCAUGCUAUGGAGUGAAUCAGCAGUGGGGUUGUUUCCUCAUUGACCUCCAAUAUCUGACUGUUCUCAGUGGUUCUAAAGAGUCCUGUCAGCAAAUGUAAUUUAUCUUCAAGGAAACUUUGGGAUUACAUGUCUUUUU
rnacentral:lncRNA from 1 species